rnacentral:rRNA from 1 species
UAACGACUCUCGGCAACGGAUAUCUCGGCUCUCGCAUCGAUGAAGAACGUAGCGAACUGCGAUACUUGGUGUGAAUUGCAGAAUCCCGUGAACCAUCGAGUCUUUGAACGCAAGUUGCGCCCGAAACCUUUGGUCGAGGGCACGUUUGCCUGGNUGUCA